rnacentral:rRNA from 1 species
AUUGAACGCUGGCGGCAUGCUUUACACAUGCAAGUCGAACGGUAACAGGGAGCUUGCUCCGCUGACGAGUGGCGAACGGGUGAGUAAUGCGUCGGAACGUGCCGAGUAGUGGGGGAUAACGCAUCGAAAGGUGUGCUAAUACCGCAUAUGAACUGAGGUUGAAAGUGGGGGACCUUCGGGCCUCACGCUAUUCGAGCGGCCGACGUCUGAUUAGCUAGUUGGUGAGGUAAAGGCUCACCAAGGCGACGAUCAGUAGCGGGUCUGAGAGGAUGAUCCGCCACACUGGGACUGAGACACGGCCCAGACUCCUACGGGAGGCAGCAGUGGGGAAUUUUGGACAAUGGGCGCAAGCCUGAUCCAGCCAUGCCGCGUGUCUGAAGAAGGCCUUCGGGUUGUAAAGGACUUUUGUCCGGGAGCAAAUGCUGGUGGCUAACAUCCACCGGAGCUGAGAGUACCGGAAGAAUAAGCACCGGCUAAUUACGUGCCAGCCGCCGCCGUAAUAC